rnacentral:rRNA from 1 species
GACGAACGCUGGCGGCGUGCUUAACACAUGCAAGUCGAACGGAAAGGCCCUGCUUUUGUGGGGUGCUCGAGUGGCGAACGGGUGAGUAACACGUGAGUAACCUGCCCUUGACUUUGGGAUAACUUCAGGAAACUGGGGCUAAUACCGGAUAGGAGCUCCUGCUGCAUGGUGGGGGUUGGAAAGUUUCGGCGGUUGGGGAUGGACUCGCGGCUUAUCAGCUUGUUGGUGGGGUAGUGGCUUACCAAGGCUUUGACGGGUAGCCGGCCUGAGAGGGUGACCGGCCACAUUGGGACUGAGAUACGGCCCAGACUCCUACGGGAGGCAGCAGUGGGGAAUAUUGCACAAUGGGCGGAAGCCUGAUGCAGCAACGCCGCGUGCGGGAUGACGGCCUUCGGGUUGUAAACCGCUUUCGCCUGUGACGAAGCGUUAGUGACGGUAAUGGGUAAAGAAGCACCGGCUAACUACGUG